AGUGAACGCUGGCGGUAGGCCUAACACAUGCAAGUCGAACGGCAGCACAGUAAGAGCUUGCUCUUACGGGUGGCGAGUGGCGGACGGGUGAGGAAUACAUCGGGAUCUACUUUUUCGUGGGGGAUAACGUAGGGAAACUUACGCUAAUACCGCAUACGACCUACGGGUGAAAGCAGGGGAUCUUCGGACCUUGCGCGAUUGAAUGAGCCGAUGUCGGAUUAGCUAGUUGGCGGGGUAAAGGCCCACCAGGGCGACGAUCCGUAGCUGGUCUGAGAGGAUGAUCAGCCACACUGGAACUGAGACACGGUCCAGACUCCUACGGGAGGCAGCAGUGGGGAAUAUUGGACAAUGGGCGCAAGCCUGAUCCAGCCAUACCGCGUGGGUGAAGAAGGCCUUCGGGUUGUAAAGCCCUUUUGUUGGGAAAGAAAAGCAGCAGGUUAAUACCCCGCUGUUCUGACGGUACCCAAAGAAUAAGCACCGGCUAACUUCGUG
rnacentral:rRNA from 1 species